CUAAGCCUCAAGAGGCAUCGGAGGCUUAUCUUUGUAUCUGUCACAGUCCACGGCCCUUUGCCUUUCACUGAAGAUUUAUUGAGCAUCGGAGGCAUGGCUGACUGAAAACAGGAGGUGUGCUUUUUAAGAAUGGCUUCUCAGCUUCAUUCAGUGCCACAGAAGUAUGGUUAGCAUGUUUGAAGAGGCUCACAAGUUCUUCCUACCAAGUCAGUUGUACCCUCAGGAAGGCAAGAGCUCACCCUUGAUGAUGGAAGACUACAAGCCUCUAACGCAGUUUCCACCCGCUUCCGGUCAGCUGAAAACAAGCGGUACACACUGUGAAGUGAAAAAACAAAAUGAGAGAAGCUGAAAAGGUAUAUGGAUCACAACACAUAUUGAAGAUGACAGCUGAAAAUGUUCCAUUGAGUCAAGCCUAUUUAUCACUCAUCUUCACACAAUGAAAAGAUACCCAUUUUUCUAUGCAUCUGUAUCAGUGUUCUGGAAGAUCUAUGAGUGUGCUUUUAAAAAAUUAAAGUGUCUGAAAUAAAAUCAGUAUUUUGAAACUAUGGUGAUGUCUCAAUUUAAAAGUAUUGCAUUAAAUAACUUCUAAUGAUUUUUUUUCUAAUCAUUAGGCACUAAAAUAAAUAUACAGUCUUAGCUGCUUUCCAUCACCCCAAGCUUUUUUAUUAACAGAAGCUCACUGAUAGCUAGCAAGUCAAAGGUUGAAAAAGA